AUUGAACGCUGGCGGCAUGCUUUACACAUGCAAGUCGAGCGGCAGCGCGGGGGCAACCCUGGCGGCGAGCGGCGAACGGGUGAGUAAUACAUCGGAACGUACCCCGUAGUGGGGGAUAACCCGGCGAAAGCCGGACUAAUACCGCAUAUGCUCUACGGAGGAAAGUGGGGGAUUCAGCAGGCAACUGAGGAACCUCACGCUAUGGGAGCGGCCGAUGUCCGAUUAGCUUGUUGGCGGGGUAAAGGCCCACCAAGGCGACGAUCGGUAGCUGGUCUGAGGAGGAUGAUC
rnacentral:rRNA from 1 species